GCUUAACACAUGCAAGUCGAGCGAGAAUCGUUUAUUGAAGGCUUCGGCUGGAAAUAGAUGAGGAAAGCGGCGAACGGGUGAGUAACGCGUGGGCAACCUGGCCUUAAGAAAAGGAUAGCCCCCGGAAACGGGGAGUAAUACUUUAUGCGAAUGAGAGAGGGCAUCCUACUUUCAUUCAAAGCGCAAGCGCUUAAGGAUGGGCCCGCGUAUCAUUAGCUAGGUGGUGGGAUAACAGCCCACCAAGGCAACGAUGAUUAGCCGGGCUGAGAUGGCGAACGGCCACAUUGGAACUGAGAGACGGUCCAAACUCCUACGGGAGGCAGCAGUGGGGAAUAUUGCGCAAUGGAGAAGAACUCUGACGCAGCAAUACCGCGUGAGCGAAGAAGGUCUUCGGAUCGUAAAGCUCUGUUAUCAGGGAAGAAGAAAAUGACGGUACCUGAUGAGCAAGUCCCGGCUAACUACGUGCCAGCAGCCGCGGUAA
rnacentral:rRNA from 1 species